CAGCCAUAUUGCAUUGAAAUACUAGUUCCCAUACAAUCACUGAAAUUAAGCAAUGUUGAGCCUAGUCAGUACUAGGUGAGUGACCGCUGAGGAAUAACAGGUGUU